UAUGCUUAACACAUGCAAGUCGAACGGGCUUUUAGGGGCAACCUUGAAAGCUAGUGGCAAACGGGUGAGUAAUAUAUAGGAAUCUACCUAGCAGUAAGGAAUAACCUUGGGAAACCAAAGCUGAUGCCAUAUAUUACCGAUUUAUCGGGAAAGAUUUAUCGCUGUUAGAUGAGCCUUUAUCGGAUUAGCUAGUUGGUAGGGUAAUGGCCUACCAAGGCGAUGAUCCGUAGCUGGUCUGAGAGGACGAUCAGCCACACUGGGAAUGCGACACGGCCCAGACUCCUACGGGAGACAGCAGUGGGGAAUAUUGGACAAUGGGCGCAAGCCUGAUCCAGCAAUACCACGUGAGUGAUGAAGGCCUUCGGGUUGUAAAACUCUCUUAGUAGGGAAGAUAAUGACGGUACCUACAGAAAAAGCACCGGCUAACUUCGUGCCAGCAGCCGCCGUAA
rnacentral:rRNA from 1 species